CCAUGACACCUUAAGGUCAGAGGUUCCCCUUCUGUGAAGACUCUGCUUUGGACCUGGAGUAGUAGCCAAUCUGGAAAGUGUAGACCCAAAAUCUGACUGGACCGAGAAGGUCUCCCACUGGCCUUAAAGAAGAGAGCUGCCAUGUUGGGAGAGGGCCAUAAGGGCAGGGGCCUGCCUCCAGAGCUGAGAUCGGCCUCCACCUGACAGCCAGCAAAAAGAUGGGGACAUCAAGUCUACCACAUAAGGAACUGAAUUCUGCCAAUGACCAUGUGAGCUUGGAAGAGUUGCAGGAAGGAACACCCCAGUCAAUACCCUGACUGCAGCCUCUGCAGACCACCCAACCAAGCUGUGCUGGGAGCCCUGACCCAUGGAAAGAUAAUAAAUGUAUGCUGUUUUAA